CUUAGGCAAGAAUGAUGAGGCAAUUAGAUGCGUGAGGGGAGAAUUCCUCAAUGAGCAUAACUUACGAGGCUUAUUCAUUCAUACAUUCUGACUUGCCUAUG